rnacentral:rRNA from 1 species
CUACGGAGGGUGCAAGCGUUAUUCGGAAUCACUGGGCGUAAAGGACGCGUAGGCGGGUUGGCAAGUCAGAUGUGAAAUCCUACAGCUUAACUGUAGAACUGCAUUUGAAACUGCUAACCUAGAGUAUGGGAGGGGGAGAUGGAAUUAGUGGUGUAGGGGUAAAAUCCGUAGAUAUCACUAGGAAUACCGAAAGCGAAGGCGAUCUCCUGGAACAUAACUGACGCUAAGGCGUGAAAGCGUGGGGAGCAAACAGGAGUAGAUACCCUAGUAGUCC